rnacentral:rRNA from 1 species
UACAGAGGUGGCAAGCGUUGUUCGGAAUUACUGGGCGUAAAGGGCGCGUAGGCGGUUCGUUAAGUCCUGUGUGAAAUCCCCCGGCUCAACUGGGGAACUGCACAGGAAACUAGCGGGCUUGAGUUCGGGAGAGGGAAGCGGAAUUCCGGGUGUAGCGGUGAAAUGCGUAGAUAUCUGGAGGAACACCGGUGGCGAAGGCGGCGUCCUGGACCAACACUGACACUGAGGAGCGAAAGCCAGGGGAGCAAACGGG